rnacentral:rRNA from 1 species
GAUGAACGCUGGCGGCGUGCCUAACACAUGCAAGUCGAACGGAGUUCUUAAGGAAUGCGGCUUCGGUCAAAUGACUUUUGAACUUAGUGGCGGACGGGUGAGUAACGCGUGAGCAACCUGCCUUUCAGAGGGGGAUAACAUUUGGAAACAGAUGCUAAUACCGCAUAAGAUUACAGUAGCGCAUGAUACAGUGAUCAAAGGNGCAAUCCGCUGAAAGAUGGGCUCGCGUCCGAUUAGAUAGUUGGUGAGGUAACGGCUCACCAAGUCGACGAUCGGUAGCCGGACUGAGAGGUUGAACGGCCACAUUGGGACUGAGACACGGCCCAGACUCCUACGGAGGCAGCAGUGGGGAAUA